UUUCAUUUCGGUCGUUCCUGGCCCAUAUGGUUCAAGGGGAUUCAUUUUAAGAUUUUCUGUGUCUCUCAGGUGUUAGAGACAGAGAGAGAGUGCGCAGCUGCCGUGGCCUGCCCUGGUUGCCAGGACAACCAAAGGUCUGCCUGGGACACCCACAUGGUUAGCUACACAGGAUGACAAGGAAGUGGGAGCUACAGAAGUAGGAGCUACAGAAGUAGGAGCUACAGAAGGAGCACUGGUGAGUAAGUGGUGUCAACAGGAAGUCAGGCGUGUCAACAGGAAGUCGGGCGUGUCAACAGCAAGUCACUCAGCAAUGCCAG